UGUCACGCAUGUCAUGGUAGAGCACAUGUCAUGAUAGAGCACAUGUCAUUUGCAGCCACUAGACAAAGAGAGAGCAAGACGAGGUUUACCCUGCCGGCUGUCUCCUUGUACGUCAGUCACCGUACGUCAGUCACCUUUUGAUAACUACUCAACGCUGCACAGCACAGGAUUCAGCAUUCAAUCACUCUCAUAAUUUUAUUGUCAUUUCAUCUUUUAUGGGGGACGCCCCACUCUUAAUUUUUAUCACUGAAUGGCUGCUGACGUACGUAUAUAUAAGAGCACUACAAGAUACGACAGGAAAGGGUCAGUAUAAUAAUUAUCCUUCCAGGCCGCAACAUAGAAUGCUGGCUUUCUGAUCGAGGAGGAGAUGAUCUGUUAUUGGCCGGGGAUGGAGUGGAUCUACCUCUGAGGCAGUGUAUGUGAUUUUCUGACACUCUAAACAGAGGGAGUCGGCCACACAAGGUAUAGUCUAAUAAUUAUUGUACAGUACUAGAUGAUCUUCUCUGUUUUGGGUCAGAUGCAAUUGCCUUGAAUCACUAGAACAUUUCUUCUACUCUUGGCUUAAGAAAUUGUAUUUUAUUAUUGUACCAGCAUUAGGUAGUUUACUCCACUUAUGCAUUGACCUCUACUACCGUGUAGUGGGAAAUUUUGUUAUUUGAGCCCUCGAAAAAUGUUGUAUAGUUGUUCACAUUUCAAUGCCAGGAAACCAAUAGCUUUGCAUGGUGCGUGGGAGUGUCUUCCAUUUAUAUUACAUGAAGUGUGAAGUGUGUUGUAAGUUUGUACAGAGAGGACUCCCAUGGUGGCAAUGAUCUGAUGAUGGCUCCACUGCUCUGGUGGACCAAUGCAGGAGAAGUUAUUCUGUAUAAUUAUCACACUAAAUUAAUGUAUGCCACUGUUUGGAUCGGUUUCUGUUCUGCUCAGCUUCUUCCUCCAACUUGCUUACGCAGGCUAAGCUUAUUCUUAAUUAGUUCAUUCUUAGUUCAUUCUAUAGUCUAGUAUUAUUGUCGGUUUGGUUGUUUUAUGUUUUUCACCUGGUCAUACGGAAUCACUUCAUUAAUUUUUAUACAGUGCAGACCGCACCUCUAUCCACACAUUGUAUCUGCACAUCCUGUAUAUAUGGGGCCACACCCCCACUCACUGUACUCAUAUGUGGUCACACCCCCAUACAUGGUAACCCUCUUGACCACACCCCCAUCCCAUGCAUUGUGUCGUACAUGCUGUGUUUUUGUGUACAGUACACACAUCAUCCGUGUCUUUAUCCCCACACCUAGUCGGAGGGACAGCAAGUUCUACUAAGAGCCAGCAUCACCAACUAACCAACACACUACAAGACCUACCUACUACCAGCUAGGACAGCACACCACCCGGGACAGACUCUACUAUACCAUGUAAUACGCCUUUGUAUUACGAUCAUGAUACAAUUUGCUGCCCUCCCUCGCCCAUGGAUUGAAUGAUUAUGGACACUCGCAGGACAACUAAGAGACUGACACACAAUAAUAGACACCAAAGGGCCAGUUACUGUAUCAUGUACGAAUAUUCUGUUGCUUGUACAUUUCGUAACAUUAUCAGUAAUUGACUAUAGAGUAGCAUCUUGAGCUCCCCUUUCUUCAUCAUUCAAUCUGCAGGCAGUGUAUGUGAUUUUCUGACAGGAGGGAGUCGGCCACACAAGGUAUAGUCUAAUAAUUAUGUCUAAUAAUUAUGGUACGGUACUUAGAUGAUCUUCUCUGUUUUGGGUCAGAUACAAUUGCCUUGAAUCACUAGCCAGUUUAAAACAUUUCUUCUACUCUUGCCUUAAGAAAUUGUAUUGUACCAGCAUUAGGUAGUUAACUCCACUUGCAUUGACCUCUACUACCGUGUAGCGGGAAAGUUCAUUAUUUGAUCCCUCGAGAAAUAUUGUAUAGUAGUUCACAUUUCAAUGCCAGGAAACCAUAGCUUUGCAUGGUGCAUGGGAGUGUCUUCCAUUUAUAUUACAUGAAGUGUGAAGUGUAUUGUAAGUUUGUACAGAGAGGACUCCCAUGGUGGCAAUGAAUGUAUGGCAAUGAUCUGAUGAUAUGGCUCUACUGCUCUGAUGGACCAAUGCAGGAGAAGUUAUUCUGUAUAAUUAUUACACUAAAUUAAUGUAUGCCACUGUUUGGAUCGGUUUCUGUUCUGCUCAGCUUCUUCCUCCAACUUGCUUACGCAGGCUAAGCUUAUUCUUAAUUAGUUCAUUCUUAGUUCAUUCUAUAGUCUAGUAUUAUUGUCGGUUUGGUUGUUUUAUGUUUUUCACCUGGUCAUACGGAAUCACUUCAUUAAUUUUUAUACAGUGCAGACCACACCUCUAUCCACACAUUGUACCUGCACAUCCUGUAUAUAUGGGGCCACACCCCCACCUCUAUCCACACAUUGUACCUGCACAUCCUGUAUAUAUGGGGCCACACCCCCACUCACUGUACUGAUAUGUGGUCACACCCCCAUACAUGGUAACCCUCUUGACCACACCCCAACCCAUGCAUUGUGUCGUACAUGCUGUGUUUUUGUGUGUACUAGUGCACACAUCAUCCGUGUCUUUAUCCCCACACCUAGUCGGAGGGAGCAGCAAGUUCUACUAAGAGCCAGCAUCACCAACUAACCAACACACUACAAGACCUACCUACUACCAGCUAGGACAGCACACCACCCGGGACAGACUCUACUAUACCAUGUAAUACGCCUUUGUGUUACGAUCAUGAUACAAUUUGCUGCCCUCCCUCGCCCAUGGAUUGAAUAAUUAUGGACACUCGCAGUACAACUAAGAGACUGACACACAAUAAUAGACACCUAACUGUAUUUUUGCCAUUAUUAUAAUAAAAAUAAUGUAUUAAUUUUUUGCCAUUAA